rnacentral:rRNA from 1 species
UACGUAGGGGGCUAGCGUUGUCCGGAAUCAUUGGGCGUAAAGCGCGCGUAGGCGGCCAGAUAAGUCCGGUGUGAAAGUCACAGGCUCAACCUGUGAAUGCCGCUGGAAACUGUCUGGCUAGAGUCCGGAAGGGGCGAGUGGAAUUCCUGGUGUAGCGGUGAAAUGCGCAGAUAUCAGGAGGAACACCAAUGGCGAAGGCAGCUCGCUGGAACGGUACUGACGCUGAGGCGCGAAAGCUAGGGGAGCGAACGGG